rnacentral:rRNA from 1 species
UAGGGAAUCUUCCACAAUGGACGCAAGUCUGAUGGAGCAACGCCGCGUGAGUGAAGAAGGGUUUCGGCUCGUAAAGCUCUGUUGGUAGUGAAGAAAGAUAGAGGUAGUAACUGGCCUUUAUUUGACGGUAAUUACUUAGAAAGUCACGGCUAACUACGUGCCAGCAGCCGCGGUAAUACGUAGGUGGCAAGCGUUGUCCGGAUUUAUUGGGCGUAAAGCGAGCGCAGGCGGUUUCUUAAGUCUGAUGUGAAAGCCCCCGGCUCAACCGGGGAGGGUCAUUGGAAACUGGGAGACUUGAGUGCAGAAGAGGAGAGUGGAAUUCCAUGUGUAGCGGUGAAAUGCGUAGAUAUAUGGAGGAACACCAGUGGCGAAGGCGGCUCUCUGGUCUGUAACUGACGCUGAGGCUCGAAAGCGUGGGGAGCAAACAGGAUUAGAUACCCUGGUAGUCCACGCCGUAAACGAUGAGUGCUAAGUGUUGGAGGGUUUCCGCCCUUCAGUGCUGCAGCAAACGCAUUAAGCACUCCGCCUGGGGAGUACGACCGCAAGGUUG